GCAAGUCGAGGGGUAACAGGAGGUGCUUGCACUUCGCUGACGACCGGCAAACGGGUGCGGAACACGUACACAACAUACCCUUUACUGGGGGAUAGCCCGAAGAAAUUCGGAUUAAUACCCCAUAGUAUAUUAAAGAGGCAUCUCUUAAAUAUUAAAAAUUUAUUGGUAGAGGAUUGGUGUGCGUCCCAUUAGAUAGUUGGCGGGGUAACGGCCCACCAAGUCGACGAUGGGUAGCUGGUGUGAGAGCACGACC
rnacentral:rRNA from 1 species